CGCAAACCAACGGGCGGCUGAUGGAUCGAUUCUCCAAUCAGAUGGUAUCAGAGCGACAGCAUGAAGAACCCCAGGUGGUUUUACUACAACACUGCGUGGAUUCCAUGAUUUGGUUCAUCAUCGUUGUAAUAAUCCAAAGUCUGGGUCUCCGAGCGGCGGAACGAGUUGAGGAAAGCAGGAAUCUGAGGAAUGUGGGUGGUUAAAGUUCCGCAGAAUCCAGAUAAGUAUCUUUGAAAGGUACGCCCUGACACACACACACACACACACACACACACACACACACACACACACACACACAGCGAAGUGAUUCAGCGCCAAGGAACCUCGCGGAGGACGGACGGGAUUCUUCUCACGGGACGCUUGGUGGACCACACUGCCUGUCCACAUCGGGACCCUCGGGCCCCCUGGCGUCCCACCCCUCCCUCCCGCCGUGUCUUUGGGGGUGGGUGGAGACCAGGCGAGGGCCCCCCCCCCCCCUCCACUGAGUUGUGUAUUGUCUUGGGGUCUUUUCCUCUUGUUAGCACCCUUGGCCUUUCAGUAUGCCGUGCCCCCCCCUCCCCCCCCCCCUCGGUCUUUUCGGAUCACUUAACAGGACAAUUACUCUAUCCGUCUUUUCAUCGUGGCCCAUUGUGUUCGGACCCUCGGUUUAGAAAAGCGUCUGUGGAGAAACCAUCUCUUUCUCUUCUUUCAACUCCUGCUUCUGGUUUCUACCAGAGACGCUUUGGGUUCAGGGUCGGUAGCCGACGUCAACGUGUACGAGAGUUAAAAGCUUUCUUCUCCCCAUAAGACAGUAAAUGAACAUUGUUCAGCUCAUGCUGAUAGAAGGAAGGAAAGCGGAACAGGACCAGAGGAGCACGGGGAGCUGGCUGAAGGUAACGGGACGUCCCACAGACCCCCCACUGUGAACGAUCUCUCGUUGGUAGGGGGUUUGGAGAAGACGGGAUCUAGAGGUUUGGGGCACAGUUGCUGCUGGAGUUUAACUCUUGAUCAGGCAACCAAAGAAACGUACAUCUUCUCCUCAGAACCGGAACAUGAAGAGCCUGAGAGUCGCUAACAAUUCCUCCCCCCUCCCCGUGGAAACACAGCACAGUGGGGGGGUCGAGAUCUAUUUUUCAGCAUACUAGUUAUCGGUAUUAGAUCCAUGGACUGCAUACAAGAAGUACGUGAGAAGUUACAGGACGUCAUCCGGUUCAUUCUGCGUCACAUGAAUAAGAUAUUCAUGUUUUCCACCAGCUUUAUUUUAAAUAUCCAGCGAGUGACCCGCCAUCUUCAUCCAUCACCCUCCCUUUGUCAGGUCCAUGUCUUUUCAUCUGUCCCGAGUGAAGGACGGUCAGAUUCCUCAGCAUGGAGACCUCUGUGUGCCCUCUGGACCACAUUCAUCUUUCAGCUCCGCCGCCGCCGCCGCCGGGUUCACGCCCCCCCCCCCAUCAGCCCGUCUCCUUCAGCCCCACCUGCUCCACCUGCAUCCCGCUCGAGGUAUUUGGAGGUUUGGCGGAAUGCGACGCGGAACAUUUAAAGCUCCGUCCUGUAACGUUGAAGCUGAUCGCCGCGGAAUCCGUCGCCAUUGUGAGAGGGAUCAAUCAAGACGCGUCAACGGGAUCUACAGGCCUCUAUUGUGCCCGGCGGCCAGAGUGUGACCCGGGACCCCGGCCACCCCGGGGGGCAACCGAGGUGAAGGGUCACUCCCCACAGUCGGGGAGAGACGCGGCGGCGUGGAACUCUCCGUCUCCGUCUUCCUACCACGACCAGCCGAUGGGUUUGGGGCGUCCUUCUCCACCAGCGUGUGGCUCACGGGUGGCCGCAGCAUCUCCCAGCAUGCACUUCAAGAGGAUCGCCCAACGCUGGCAACGUGGCUUACAAAAAGUUAAAGGCGGUAUGUGUAAAAACACCAGGGGGCGGAGUCAACUACGACUACCAAGGAACCCGCCAGUUCCCAGCAGGUGGUCCUGACUCACGGUAGACCCCCCUAUAAAUGCAUCGAUUAUGAAAUAUUUUAUUGAUCACUGGGUGGAGCAUGAACACAGAUCGCUCUCAUUGUCUGGUUUAUCGAUGUGUAAGGGUUCAAAAUGUCUUUAAUGAGAAUUGAAUCUGCAAAAAACAUGAUCUGCAUUAGUUUGUCUUCUAUACAUGUUUUAAUUAUACCUCUGAUUGUUUUCCUUGAUGAGUUAAUGAGUAUCGCCCCAUUAGUUCAAUAAAAGGCUUCUUUAUACCUGCGAGCUGCAGGACAUCCUCCUCAUCUCAGGGGGGAAACUGAACUACUUCCCACUCAAAAUGAAUGAUAUUUGCUUUAAAAAAAAGAGUAUUAUUCAUUUAAUACCACGUGUACCUUCUGUGGGAGUAAAUACAUGAAACAUCUAAUAGUUGACUGUCACCAUCACGUGUUGUAUAAAGUGGACGUGUUCUUGGUUCUAUGGAUCAUCCGACAUUCAAACAGGUUGUAACCUGAUAUUUGACGAUUGGUGCGAA
ensembl:lncRNA